UACGGAGGGGGCAAGCGUUAUCCGGAAUUAUUGGGCGUAAAGCGUCCGCAGGUGGCACCUCAAGUCUGCUGUCAAAGACCGGGGCUUAACCCCAGAAAGGCAGUGGAAACUGAAGUGCUAGAGUGCAGUAGGGGUAGAGGGAAUUCCCGGUGUAGCGGUGAAAUGCGUAGAGAUCGGGAAGAACAUCGGUGGCGAAAGCGCUCUGCUGGACUGCAACUGACACUCAGGGACGAAAGCGAGGGGAGCGAAUGGG
rnacentral:rRNA from 1 species